GAGCAAAUGAAACUGCUAGGGGAGAAGGUCUGAUAGAAGUCUAAGGAUUUAGACUCAUGCACUGAGUCCACUGGACUCACGCAGUUAAGACAGUUUUAGGGAAUCCAGGGUGUACAUCAAUGCGUUAUUCACAAAUUUAAACAGGUAAUACUGAACUCAUUUUCUAGAUUUUGAAACAGAGCUGAAAGACUCAAUAAUAUACCUAGUAAGAGGCCACAACUGGCUUCAAACCUGGGACUUUUUUCCUUUUUCCUCCAAAGACAGAAUUUUUUUUUUCUAUGCCAUAUGGCUUUUUUCUUUUUCUUUCUUUCUUUCUUUCUUUUUUUUUUUUUUUUUGAGACAGAGUCUUGUGGAGUCUUG
rnacentral:lncRNA from 10 species